UCUUUCUAUGAAUGGUUUCUCUGUGUAAUCUGAACACAGAAGGAUUAAACCUAAAACAGUUUUGAUGAAGAGAUAAACAUGUUUUAAGACUGGGAUCAGAGCAGUUAACUAACAUCUGUUAAUGUCUUUCUUACAGGAUGAAAAAAUAUCAGAUGGAGAGCAGACAGAAAAGGCAUGAUAAGUGUGAAGCUUAACCCCCUUUGGAACAUAAACAUAAAUCAGGAUUGUUCUUCUGAAAAACCACAAAGCCAAUGCAAGCACUUUCCAAAACAACCUUUGGGGUGAAGAGCCCAAAAUAAACAAAGAUUGCCCACAAAAGGAGUUUCUGGACCAUCUAUGCAUUUUCCAUUUCUCUUCAAAAUGACAGCUGAGGAUAACUUCCAAGAGCCAUGGGCGAGGCAGUGCGGUCUAACAGACAGGGCACUGGAUUGGUCAUCAAGUGACUUCAGUGCUAUUCCUGGCUCUCUCACU